ACCAUCCUGGUCUUGGGGUGAGCGACUGGCCAAUGAACGUCUAGUGAGGGCAGUACUGCUAACACCGAUGACAACACUUUAGCGCCACUAGUGUGCAAACGCUAGCGCGGUGCAAUUUUUGGAAUC